GUAAUACGGAGGGGGUUAGCGUUGUUCGGAAUUACUGGGCGUAAAGCGCACGUAGGCGGAUCAGAAAGUUGGGGGUGAAAUCCCGGGGCUCAACCCCGGAACUGCCUCCAAAACUGCUGGUCUAGAGUUCGAGAGAGGUGAGUGGAAUUCCGAGUGUAGAGGUGAAAUUCGUAGAUAUUCGGAGGAACACCAGUGGCGAAGGCGGCUCACUGGCUCGAUACUGACGCUGAGGUGCGAAAGUGUGGGGAGCAAACAGGAUUAGAUACCCUGGUAGUCCACACCGUAAACGAUGAAUGCCAGUCGUCGGGUAGUAUACUAUUCGGUGACACACCUAACGGAUUAAGCAUUCCGCCUGGGGAGUACGGUCGCAAGAUUAAAACUCAAAGGAAUUGACGGGG
rnacentral:rRNA from 1 species